rnacentral:rRNA from 1 species
CCUGGCUCAGGAUGAACGCUAGCGACAGGCUUAACACAUGCAAGUCGAGGGGCAGCACAGGUAGCAAUACCGGGUGGCGACCGGCGCACGGGUGAGUAACGCGUAUGCAACUUGCCUAUCAGAGGGGGAUAACCCGGCGAAAGUCGGACUAAUACCGCAUGAAGCAGGGAUCCCGCAUGGGAAAUUUGCUAAAGAUUCAUCGCUGAUAGAUAGGCAUGCGUUCCAUUAGGCAGUUGGCGGGGUAACGGCCCACCAAACCGACGAUGGAUAGGGGUUCUGAGAGGAAGGUCCCCCACAUUGGUACUGAGACACGGACCAAACUCCUACGGGAGGCAGCAGUGAGGAAUAUUGGUCAAUGGCCGAGAGGCUGAACCAGCCAAGUCGCGUGAGGGAUGAAGGUUCUAUGGAUCGUAAACCUCUUUUAUAAGGGAAUAAAGUGCGGGACGUGUCCCGUUUUGUAUGUACCUUAUGAAUAAGGAUCGGCUAACUCCGUGCCAGCAGCCGCGGUAAUACGGAGGAUCCGAGCGUUAUCCGGAUUUAUUGGGUUUAAAGGGUGCGUAGGCGGCCUUUAAGUCAGCGGUGAAAGUCUGUGGCUCAACCAUAGAAUUGCCGUUGAAACUGGGGGGCUUGAGUAUGUUUGAGGCAGGCGGAAUGCGUGGUGUAGCGGUGAAAUGCAUAGAUAUCACGCAGAACCCCGAUUGCGAAGGCAGCCUGCCAAGCCAUUACUGACGCUGAUGCACGAAAGCGUGGGGAUCAAACAGGAUUAGAUACCCUGGUAGUCCACGCAGUAAACGAUGAUCACUAGCUGUUUGCGAUACACUGUAAGCGGCACAGCGAAAGCGUUAAGUGAUCCACCUGGGGAGUACGCCGGCAACGGUGAAACUCAAAGGAAUUGACGGGGGCCCGCACAAGCGGAGGAACAUGUGGUUUAAUUCGAUGAUACGCGAGGAACCUUACCCGGGUUUGAACGCAUUCGGACCGAGGUGGAAACACCUUUUCUAGCAAUAGCCGUUUGCGAGGUGCUGCAUGGUUGUCGUCAGCUCGUGCCGUGAGGUGUCGGCUUAAGUGCCAUAACGAGCGCAACCCUUGCCACUAGUUACUAACAGGUAAAGCUGAGGACUCUGGUGGGACUGCCAGCGUAAGCUGCGAGGAAGGCGGGGAUGACGUCAAAUCAGCACGGCCCUUACAUCCGGGGCGACACACGUGUUACAAUGGCGUGGACAAAGGGAGGCCACCUGGCGACAGGGAGCGAAUCCCCAAACCACGUCUCAGUUCGGAUCGGAGUCUGCAACCCGACCCCACGAAGCUGGAUUCGCUAGUAAUCGCGCAUCAGCCAUGGCGCGGUGAAUACGUUCCCGGGCCUUGUACACACCGCCCG